GCGAGUGUGGCAGGUUGAGGAUGUACUGCCAAAAGUGACCUAAUGCAUGUUGGUCUGCUGCCUACAUAUUCUAGGCUGCCAUGGGCAGUGGUCUGACGCCCACUUAGGGUCUUUUUGGGGGGCAUCUGUCUAAACCUGAAUCUUC
rnacentral:ncRNA from 2 species